UGGCACCAAGAAAACAAUAAAGAAAAGAAAAAAGUCUUAGAGAUAGGAAUAACUUUCUGUACUUUAUAGCUGGGAAAAAAAAACAUAAGUAUAAAGAGAGUGGCUGUUUUUUUAACUGAUGAUUGGUGUCCACUAGCAAUUUCUUUAACCUUUAUUUUGUCUUACCAAUUCUGAUCCUUCCUAUUUUUGAUUUAUAUCAAACACAUCCUUUCUGAGCAAAUGUUGGGCAUGGUAGGAGUGGGAAAAGUGAUGAGAAAGGGAGAGAGAUUAAUGAACUUGGUCUUUACUUUUUGAUUUCUUUUAAUUUUAUUUUAAUUAAGGAUGCACAAAUAUG